rnacentral:rRNA from 1 species
AUCCUGGCUCAGUCGCUUCUUCGUAGCCCGGAACUUGGUUCACCGAAAGACGGGAGUGGCGACGGGUGAGUAACGCGUGGGUAACCUGCCCAUCACAGGGGGAUAACACUUGGAAACAGGUGCUAAUACCGUAUAACACUAUUUUCCGCAUGGAACAAAGUUGAAAGGCGCUUUUGCGUCACUGAUGGAUGGACCCGCGGUGCAUUAUGUAGUUGGUGAGGUAACGGCUCACCAAGGCAACAAUGCAUAGCCGACCUGAGAGGGUGAUCGGCCACACUGGGACUGAGACACGGCCCAGACUCCUACAGGAGGCAGCAGUAGGGAAUCUUCGGCAAUGGACGAAAGUCUGACCGAACAACGCCGCGUGAGUGAAGAAGGUUUUCGGAUCGUAAAACUCUGUUGUUAGAGAAGAACAAGGAUGAGAGUAAAAUGUUCAUCCCUUGACGGUAUCUAACCAGAAAGCCACGGCUAACUACGUGCCAGCAGCCGCGGUAAUACGUAAGUGGCAAGCGUUGUCCGGAUUUAUUGGGCGUAAAGCGAGCGCAUGCGGUUUCUUAAGUCUGAUGUGAAAGCCCCCGGCUCAACCGGGGAGGGUCAUUGGAAACUGGGAGACUUGAGUGCAGAAGAGGAGAGUGGAAUUCCAUGUGUAGCGGUGAAAUGCGUAGAUAUAUGGAGGAACACCACUGGCGAACGCGGCUCUCUGGUCUGUAACUGACUCUGAGCUCGAAAGCGUGGGGAGCGAACAGGAUUAGAUACCCUGGUAGUACCUCGCCGUACAUCGAUGAGCUGCUAAGUAGUUCGAUGGGUUUCCGCCCUCAGUGGCUA